AAAAUUAUGCUUCAUACGAUAAUUUCUAUGGUAAAAUCACCGAGACGCAUCGGCCAUCUUGCAGCACACUCAGCCACGGUGAUGAGUUGAGGGUCUCCGCCUGAGCGUAAAGCUGGCAUUGGGACUCUGGGUUUCGACCCUAGUUAAUGCUAUUGAUGACCGUUUCCUCGGCUCUUGAGGCUGAAGGGAGGGUGAAGACUCGGUCUGAGUGGC